UAAAAGAACAAGUGAGCAGAACCAGUGUAAGUUGCUUUAUAAAAGUGUAUUUUUUUGUCUUGUAAUUUACAGGAAGCAGUACGCCGUCUUCACAGCUUGGAGACAAAUUGUCGGAGCUACGAACCGGAGCAAGGCUGCCUGUAAGACCUAUUACGAGACAGUACGCAGGAGCUUCAGGUACAAACAACCAGACCUUGCACCGCAGGCGGAAGCUGUGAAGAGUUCAGCUCGGAGUCGAUCGAGAAGAAAGAGGCUGCUGGAAGCGAGACAGAGUGUGCUAGUUGAGGAAGAGGGGGAACUUUGGAAGUCCACCACCAUAGACCUGAUGUCUGAUGAGGAAGACGGCAUCGUUGGCGGGGUGUCUGGAUGGAUUGUGCGACCUCCGUCCUUUCGCAGCCGGGAGCUCACCGAGCUCUGUGCCACGCUGCAGUUGAGAUUAGAGGCGACCCUGAAGUACAGGGCAACGCACCACAGAUGUCUGCAAAACGGGCCAAAUUCAGACAGAACGCCGCCAGUUAACUACAGCUCCGAGGCGGCAAACAGCCACUUCACGGUGCUGUUGGAUUUUGGGCUUCUCGUGAGCUUCCCAUUUGUUGUGUGGGCAGAUCUCGCUUUGUACAUAGUUGUGUGUUUGUGCUAAUAAAGCUCUUUCUUUGAAUAAACAUGUUCCUGGCAAAUUUUCCUUUCCUUAAUAAAUUAAUUCAUGUCCUUGAUGGUAAUAAUAGUGUAGACCAUAGGAUAACAAUGACAUGAAUAUACAACAUAAUAGCAUAUCAUUAUUUAGUUUCACUGUGAAACUGAGGCUGUUGUAAAUUGAACUGAUCAGACACAAACCAUCACCGUCCAUUAAAAGACAUUUAAAACAUUUAAAAUAUAUAUAUAUAAUUUUAUUUUCAUCAGUUUGAAAUCCUCACCUUUGAUCAACAGAGUGGCGGCCAUCUUUGAAGUCUUCAUAACGACCCAUAGAGUCAUC
rnacentral:lncRNA from 15 species